UGAGUCAAACAUAAAGCCAAGAAGAUACUCCCAAAACCAAACCAAAAGAAAGGGAAAAAAAACAAAAUGUGUAGGAUUCGGCUUGAUAAGGUAAUCCAUUACACUGCACUGUACAAAAGCAAAGCAAAGCAAAGCCCAAUCCCCUCUCUUUCUCUUUCUCUGUUUCUCUUCCGCAGUUAGGCGACAUAUUCAAGAGCUUCCUUUUCUUUCCUUGGGGUCAAUUUAGGCAUCAAUGGGGUCUGUACUUCGUGAAUGGAUAGGGUUUCAGCAAUUCCCUACUGCUACUCAAUCCAAACUUGUAGAAUUGUUUGCCAAGUUAAAGGAAGAGGGUGUUGAUAAACUGACCAUACUUGUUAUGGGCAAAGGAGGAGUUGGGAAAUCUUCCACUGUUAAUUCUCUUUUUGGAGAGCGAGCGGUCAAUGUUAGCUCUUUCCAGUCAGAGGGGUUCAGACCUGUUAUGGUUUCACGCAACCGGGCUGGAUUCACGUUAAACAUCAUUGACACUCCGGGCCUUGUGGAAGGUGGUUAUGUCAGUUACCAAGCUCUGGACAUGAUUAAACGGUUUCUUUUGAAUAAGACUAUACAUGUUUUGCUCUAUGUUGAUCGCCUGGAUGCAUAUAGAGUGGAUGACUUGGACAAGCAGAUAAUUGGUGCUAUAUCUGACAGUUUUGGAAAAGAAAUAUGGAGUAAAAGUUUGCUUGUCCUCACUCAUGCUCAACUCUGCCCACCAGACGAUCUAAGUUAUGAUGUCUUUUGUGCUCGAAGAUCAGAGGCUGUGUUGAAGACCAUUCGUAUGGGAGCACGGAUUAGGAAACGAGACUUUGAGGAUUCUGCUAUUCCAGUUGGUUUGGUUGAGAACAGUGGGAGAUGCAACAAAAAUGAGAAUGAUGAAAAGAUUCUCCCCAACGGGGAUGCUUGGAUUCCGAGCCUCGUAAAAGAGAUCAUUUUGGUUGCGACAAAUGGAAAGAAAGCUCUUGUAGUUGAUGAGAAGUUGGUUAGUGGGUCUGAGUCCAAUGACAGGGGAAAGAUAUUUAUUCCUCUUAUUUUAGGGAUUCAGUGGCUUCUUGUGAAAUGGAUUCAACGAGAAAUAAAAAAAGAUAUUGCAAAAGGCGGCAAGUAUCUUUAGUACUGUUUGGUUGCAUUCAAAUCAAUUGCAAGUUGUUAUGUGGCUCUUUAAUGAUGAUAUAUAUUACCUAUCAGAGUGGUAUUUCGGUGCCCUUUCUGUGGAAGUAGAAGUGCCUGAUGUUGUUGCGCCGCAAAUAGAUAUCUAUCUUUAUCCAUUUGCUCAUUUUGAAUCAGUAGUGUUAUGAGCACAAAUGUGUUAGCACAUAAUCUCCAAGAUGCUAUUCUCUAGCAACCUAUACAUGCUAGAAGAAGUUGAUUUCUCCGACCUACGCCAUGCUAAGGAAAAUAUUUCUACCUCUUCAAAAUGAGGUCUCUGCGGUGUGCUUUAAGUUUCAUUAAAAAUGUUUCGAGCAUCCAUUGGUUGUGAGUUUGUGAUUAUGGUCACUUCACUCCUGGCGUGGCAGCCAACAUUUGAAAGCUGUUUGCAAUCUUUCUGCGGAGAUUUCGGGAGGUAGGGAGGCAGAACCAAAGGAUUGGAAGAGAGUGUUUGUUAAUGAGAUGCACCGCCCGAGAUGCACCUUGUAAACAAACACACCCGAAGUGGGGGACCAGAGCAGCGAAGGUUUUUAUACUCUGGGUGCCACCAUUAAAGCAUACCAACAUAGCCUGUAAACGUCAUUGAAGAUACCACAAACAUAGUAAACAUCUCAUAAUUAUAUAUAUUAUGUAUCAGAUGAACUUGCUUUA